UGCGGACAGAAUGAAAAGCUCACUGAUGAUGAACAAGAUGAAGAAAGACAGCUGUGUGGCACACCAGUUGUAGGGGAUUGUAUUUUGGUUAGUUACAAAAUUUACCAGCAUUUUGGGUCCCACAGCAGUUGAAUAACCAAGAUCAAUGAAAGCCAGGUGUCUGAGAAAGAAGUACAUGGGUGUUUGGAGCCUGGAAUCCAUGUUGGUGAGGAUGAUCAUGCCCAGGUUGCCCACCACGGAGACCGUGUAGAUGAUGAGGAAGAGCCCAAAGAAGGGAGCCUGCAGCUCUGGACGGUGCUGGCAAAUAAUACUGCAUGAAGUACAUGAAUGAAAGAGUAAUAGGGAGUGAAGAGAAGGAGAUAUGGCGUGAUUCAUUGAAUGGCCAGCAUCCCUGUACCGAUGGAUGAAAGAUUACUCCAGACUUUGCUGUGAAAGAGAGGAGAAGGCAAGGGGGUCAAUGCUGAGACAAAGACCCUUUGCUCUUCUUUGCUCCCACCUUUACUAGUGCUUCAGGAUCAUCAUAAGUCUUUAUUACUCUGUUUUUCAACCUAGCAAUGUGUGACAGGUGUUUUACUGGAACUAGGAGGGCCUGAUUAUGGGAAAUAUACA